rnacentral:rRNA from 1 species
AACGCAUAUUGCACUCUCUGGUAAUCCGGGGAGUAUGCCUGUUUGAGGGUCAGUAAAUAAUAAUUAUCAUAAUCUUUUUGAUUAUGGAAUUGGGCUUUUAUUUCAUUAAUGAUUUAUGGCCUCAAAUUUACGUUACCGCUUGUUUAAUAUGAAAUUCGACCGAAUGGAGCAAUUAAACAUUUCUCUCGUUAGGCGGAUUCAUCAAGCAGUUACGAUUUUUUGGCCGUCGAAGGACUUUUUACAAGUUCUUGGCCGAGAUCGUGAGUUUUUUAAACAAAUGACCUCAAAUCAGGCAAGAAUACCCGCUGAACUUAA